AGCACUGUAGCACAGCUGGAAGUGCGCGAGGCUCAUAUUCUUCGAACCCCGAGGUCACUUGAUCGAAACAAGUCAGUGCUA